rnacentral:rRNA from 1 species
UUGAAAGAAGUUUGAUCAUGGCUCAAGAUUGAACGCUGACGCUUCUUUAUGCAAGUCGAACGCGGUAACGGAAGCAGCUUGCUGCUUACUUCGCUGACAGUGGACGGGUGAAAAUUUAAUGUCUGGAAACUGCCUGGGGAUAACUACUGGAAACAUUUGGCUAUACCGCAUAACGUCGCAAGACCAAGAGGGGACCUUCGGGCCUCUUGCCAUCAGAUAUUGCCCAGAUAAGGUUGCUUGUUGGUGAGUAACGGCUCACCAAGGCGACGAUCCUAGCGGUCUGAAGGAUGACCAGCACUGGAACUGAGACACGGUCGAACUCCCUACGGGAGGCAGCAGUGAAGAAUAUUGCACAAUGGGCGCAAGCCUGAUGAUAAACCAUGCCGCGUGUAUGAAGAGAGCUGGGGUUUGGCAAAGUACUCCGGCGGGGAGGAAGGUGUUGUGGUUAAUAACCGCAGCAGUGACGUUACCCGCAGAAGCACCGGCUAACUCCGUGCUGGCGGCCGCGCGGUAUGCGAGGAGGUGCAAGCGUUAAUCGGAAUUACUGGGCAAUGCAAAGCGCACGCAGGCGGUCUGUCAAGUCGGAUGUAAAUCCCCGGGCUCAACACGAGACUGCAUUCUAACUGGCAGGCUUGAAGGUCAACAGCAGAGGUAGGAAUUCGAGGUGGCAGCGGUGAGAAAUGCGUGAGAGAUCUGGAGGAAUACCGGUGGCAGGCAUUUGGACAAGACGACGCUCCAGGUGCAGCGGCAGAACAGAAACAGUUGAAUACUGGUAGUCCACGCGUAAACGAUGUCUACUUGGAGGUUGUGCCCUUGAGGCGUGGCCUUCCGAACUAGCGUUAGAAGUAGACCGCACGGGUACGGCGCAAGGUUAAACUCAAAUGAAUUGACGGGGGCCCACUACAAGCGGUGGAGCAUGGUUUAAUUCGACAACGCGAAGAACACAGUGCUUGACAUCCACGGAAGUUUUCAGAGAUGAGAAUGUGCCUUCGGGAACCGUGAGACAGGUGCUGCAUGGCAUCGUCAGCUCGAAAUGUUGGGUUAAGUCCCGCAACGGUAACCCUUAUCGCGCAUUCCAGCGGUGGGAACUCAAAAGGAGACUGCCAGUAUAAACUGGAGGAAGGUGGGGAUGACGUCAAGUCAUCAUGGCCUUACGACGAGGGGCUACACGUGCUACAAUAGCGCGCCAAGAGAAGCGACCUCGCGAGCAAGCGGACCUCAUAAAGUGCGUCGUAGUCCGGAUUGGAGUCUGCAACUCGACUCCAUGAAGUCGGAAUCGCUGGUCGUGGAUCAGAAUGCCACGGUGAAUACCGUUCCCGGGCGCUCGCCCGUCACCAUGGGAGUGGGUUGCAAAAAGAGUAGGUAGCUUAACCUUCCGGGGAGGCACACUUCUUCAUGAGCUAGAAGGUAAGUCAUGCUCACAUAAAAUUGUAACCGUAGGGGAACCUGCGGUUGGACACCUCCUUA